GCAAAAAACUGCGUAGGAGAUCAUUAAUACAAUAGUAUUAUAUAAACCAAGCCUGAUGUUGGCCGCUCAUUCAAAGAAUGCAGCAGUGUGACAGCCAGCAAUCAAAAGUAACAAGAUGUCGAGGAAAUGCAGAGUGUAAUAAACUGUGUAGGAGAUUAUGAUUGCAAUAGAAUAAAAUCGACCAAGCCUGAAGUCCUUCAAUGCACGCAGCAGUGUGACAGCCAGCAAUCAAAAGUUACAAUAUAUCGAGGAAAUACAGAAGGCAAAGAAGCAGAUGUCAUCAAAGAAGAUCUUUGUUCCUGAAAUGUUUCCGCAGACGAUACAUCCAACAGAGCGAAGUGGAAGGAAAAGACUCGGAAAAAAGACCCCACCACCAUAUGGGAACAAUGCAAGGGAGAGAGA